UUAGCUAAAGAGAAGUUGCUGUCAUGCUCUGGAGAGUCGAGCAGAAGGAUAUACAGUAUAGUUCAGCAGUUUGUGGCUACUUGUGGCUUUUCAUUGCUGCCUUCAUUACAGCUCGCCCUUCUGCUCUACACUCAUUUAGCCUCCGGUGAAGUGUUCAUCAUUACGGCUCUUCCAGCACUUCAUUGGGUGUCUUAUUUAUUUUGUAAUGAAACAAAAAUUGCAGAUCAACGCUGUCAACGUUUUCUAUAUAUAUUAAUACGGUCA